GCUGGGCGUGGUGGCGUGCGCCUGUAGUCACAGCUACUCUGGAGGCUGAGGCAGAAGAAUCACUUGAACCCAGGAGGUGGAGGUUGCAGUGAGCUGAGAUCACGCCACUGCACUCCAGCCUGGGUGACAGAGUGAGACUCCGUCUCAA
rnacentral:SRP_RNA from 1 species